UACGAAGGGUGCAAACGUUGCUCGGAAUUAUUGGGCGUAAAGCGCACGUAGGCGGCUUAGCAAGUCGGAAGUGAAAUCCCUCGGCUCAACCAAGGAAGUGCUUUCGAAACUGCUGAGCUUGAGUACUUAAGAGGAUCGCGGAAUUCCCGGUGUAGAGGUGAAAUUCGUAGAUAUCGGGAGGAACACCAGUGGCGGGGGCGGCGAUCUGGGAAGAUACUGACGCUGAGGUGCGAAAGCGUGGGGAGCAAACAGG
rnacentral:rRNA from 1 species